rnacentral:rRNA from 1 species
AUUGAACGCUGGCGGCAGGCCUAACACAUGCAAGUCGAGCGGCAGCGGAAAGUAGCUUGCUACUUUGCCGGCGAGCGGCGGACGGGUGAGUAAUGUCUGGGAAACUGCCUGAUGGAGGGGGAUAACUACUGGAAACGGUAGCUAAUACCGCAUAAUGUCGCAAGACCAAAGAGGGGGACCUUCGGGCCUCUUGCCAUCAGAUGUGCCCAGAUGGGAUUAGCUAGUAGGUGGGGUAACGGCUCACCUAGGGGACGAUCCCUAGCUGGUCUGAGAGGAUGACCAGCCACACUGGAACUGAGACACGGUCCAGACUCCUACGGGAGGCAGCAGUGGGGAAUAUUGCACAAUGGGCGCAAGCCUGAUGCAGCCAUGCCGCGUGUAUGAAGAAGGCCUUCGGGUUGUAAAGUACUUUCAGCGGGGAGGAAGGUGUUGAGGUUAAUAACCUCAGCAAUUGACGUUACCCGCAGAAGAAGCACCGGCUAACUCCGUGCCAGCAGCCGCCGUAA